rnacentral:lncRNA from 1 species
ACCACAUAAGAACAGUAUGCUUACUGUCAAACAUGCCCAUGAUAUUCCUCUAAAGCGGAGGUGCUUUCGAUCAAACUUGUUUCCCCACACCCUUGGUACUUGAGGAUGGUGUAUUCUUGAAUUGUUACACAAAUAGUAACAGAAAUACUCAAAAUCUUAUAUUUUUAUGCACUGAACUGUACCUCCUCAAAAUUCAUAUGUUGAGACCCAAACCACUACCCUCCCCACCCAGUACUGCAGAAUGUGGCUGUAUUUGGAAACAGGACCUUUAAAGAGAUAGUCACUAAGUUAAAAUGAGGCUUUUAAGGUGUGCCCUAAUCCAGUUUGACUGGGGUCCUUAAAAGAAGAGGAAAUUUUAUUUGUUUAUUUAUAAGAUAUUUAUUUAUUGAAGAGAGAGAGUGCACAAGUGAGGGGGAGGGGUAAAGAGAGGGAUAAGCAGAUUCCUCACUGAGCAGGGAGCCCGACAUGGGACUCGAUCCCAGGACCCUGGGAUCAAGACCUGAGCUGAAGGCAGAUGCUUAACCCACUGAGCCACCUAAGCACUCAAGCAGGGGAAAUUUAGAGGUAUGGGGAGACACCAGGGCUGUGUGUGCANAAAAAAAAAAAAAAAAAAAAAAAGAGAAAAGACUGUCAGGAUACAAUGAGGAGCGGCCAUCUGCAUGCUGAGGGGAAACCAAACCUUCUGGCACUUUAAUGUUCUGGACUUCUAGCCUCCAGAACUUCGAGAAAAAACAUUUCUAUUGUUUAAGCACCCCCUCCUGUGGUAUUUUAUUAUGGUAGCACAGAAAAAAAAUUAGAAACUGAUACCAACAUUAAGCAUGGCUGCUUUCUCUGUAGGUCCCAACACCUGACAGAUAACAAAGAUCAAAUCAAAUCGGAUCAGAUCAAAUGGAAUCCAGUGGUGUUUGUCGAGCUCUUUGAAUGGAGCGGUAUGCAGCAGCGCCUCCCAAAUGGUGCCCAGGGGAAAUCAGCAAGGUACAUCCUGCUGCCCAUCAGGAGAGAAGGCCAGGCUGCUGCCUGCCCUGUUUCAAUGUGUGGCGUUUGGCAAUGGACUAUGACAGCCUCCCUCUUGCCGCUAACUCGGUGUCACAUGAGCACUCCGAAGGUGACUUGAGAUUUGGAGAAUUGAGGGGAAGGCCAUGA